GGAUGUAGCUCAGUGGUUGAGUGCUUACCUAGCAUGAGUGAGGUGUUGGGUUCAAUUCCCAACAUCACCA
rnacentral:tRNA from 1 species